rnacentral:rRNA from 1 species
GGCCGGGUGUGUAAGCGCAGCGAUGCGUUGAGCUAACCGGUACUAAUGAACCGUGAGGCUUAACCUUA